rnacentral:lncRNA from 1 species
ACAUAGUCAAGUUGGCCAAACAUAAAGAGUUUACCCCGUAUGGUAACUGGUUCUACACACGAGUUGCUUCCACAGCAAGGUACCUGUACCUCCGUGGUGGUGCGGCGGUGGAUUUCAUGACCAAGAUCUAUGGAGGACGGCUGAGACACGGUGUCAAGCCCAGCCACUUCAGCAGAGGCUUUAAGAAUGUGGCCCGCGGAGUCCUCCAAGCCCUGGAGGGGCUGAAAAUGAUGGAAAAGGACCAAGAUGGGGGUCGCAAGCUAACACCUCAGGAACAGAAAGAUCUGGAUGGGAUGGCUGGACAGGUGGCAGCUAUCAACAAGAAGAAUUAGAGCAAAGGAUGCUGGGUUAAUAAAUUGACUCAUUCAUAAUCUUAAAAAAAGGGCACAUGUGAAAUUUACUCACAGUGUACAUUCCAUAAUUGCCGUUACUUCAGGUGAUUAAUCCUGGGGCUAGAAGAAUAGCUCAGUAGCAAAGUGCUUACUGUAACAAGCCUGAGGACCUGAGUUUGGAUUCAAAGCAUCUACUUAAAAGCCAGGAACAACAGAAGUUCUCAUCUGUGCCUCUCCCAGGAAGUGAAGAUCAGCAAAGAUAUGAGACCCACAAGCUUGCACAGCUAGCUGUACCAGCAAGCCAAGCUCUGCCUCCAUCACUCUGUGGAGUUCUAUUUAUACCCUCCAAACAUCACAUAUCCUCCAUGUGCCUUGCCUCUGCAUGUGUCUUGCCUCAACACGUACAUCCAAUCAGCCUGAGUCCUUGGAACUGGCAAACUGCAGACCUCCACCAGAAGUGUUUUGAAUAUCAUCUCUCCUGUGUCUACUUCAGCAAAACGAGUCUGCCUCAGCCUUUCGCACCUGUGUCCAUAUUAACAAAAUGUUCCUUCACAUGUUUGCCCCAGCAAAACACCAUCCAUCCGACUUUCCAAAGAACCCUUACACUUCAGGUUAACAGGACAAGGGGGAUGUGGACCAGUUUAGAAGUAGUUCUUUGGGGAGGGGGGGUAUUCCAGUCUUCGUUGUCAGAAUGUCAGCAGUCCGGUUCAAUGGUGUCAGGAUACCAGUAAUUCAGUUCAACUGGUGAGUCAUGGAUCAGCAGCAGCAGCUCCAUCUAGAAGAAACUUUGAGGCUCUGCUCAAUCAGCAUGAGUCUGUGGAAUCAGCAAGAAGCAGCCGGAAUACCACAAGAAGUUCUUUGAGGAGUUACUGUCUACGAAGUCACAACAAACGUAGACCAGUGGAGAUAAGCAAAGCAUUGCAAGGUGAACCAAUGCAAGAGCACCUUUCACUGUCCCUGGUGUUAUAUUUAUGUUCUAAACAUCAUGUGCAGGGGUUGGGGAUUUAGCUCAGCGGUAGAGCGCUUGCCUAGGAAGCGCAAGGCCCUGGGUUCAGUCCCCAGCUCCGAAAAAAAAGGACCCCCCCCAAAAAAAAAAUCAUGUGCCCUCUCAAGCAUCGACUCCAGGAAAAGUCACGUGCCCUUUCACAAGACAGCUUCCAGAAAAAAUCAUAUGACACAACAGAAUCUUCAAAGAAACCAGAAAUUUCCACUUCACCUUUCCUCUCCUCAUGAGAGUCAGACAUAUCCCGUUCUAUCAAAUCUCUCUGAUGCAUCCCUUUGUCGGCUAUGCAAUAAGACAUCAUUUUUCUUUCUUUCUUUCUUUCUUUUUUUUAUUCCUCUCCCCCGAGACAUCACUUUUCAAACAUGGGAGCUUCCUUCUACAAACUAACUUCACCUUCAUUGUUUGGAAUUAAAAGUAUGUACUAAGGGCAUGUCUAUUCCAGCCAGAGGGAUUUAAGGUACAGGCUAAGGGCUGAGCCCACAACUAGAAACAGGGUAUUUCAAUAAACAAUGAAAUCUCAGCAUUCACAGUGUGAUUAAAAUUCCUGCUGCAAUUAAGCUUCACCUAGAUUCCUGUUCGUGUUUUCAUGUCUGAAGCAGGUAACUAGGAACAAAGUUUGUGUACAUCAGAUGUUGUUAAUAAAUCGUGGUCC